AAGGCCCGAACCCGUUCGUGAGCCGUCUCAUAAAUUGACCCAACAUCAACGGCACGGGAGCCGAUCUCUCCACGUCCCCCGCGGGAUAGGAGGUAGGCACCCACCUGUAUAUACAGGGAUCAAUGCCAGAGGCGGCAACGGCGGGUUGGGGCCCUU
rnacentral:other from 1 species